rnacentral:rRNA from 1 species
UGGGGAAUUUUGCACAAUGGGGGACACCCUGAUGCAGCGACGCCGCGUGAUUUAGAAGGCCUUCGGGUUGUACAAAUCUUUUCUAUGGGAAGAAAAUGACAGUACCAUAGGAAUAAGGACCGGCUAAUUACGUGCCAGCAGCCGCGGUAAUACGUAAGGUCCGAGCGUUGUCCGGAAUCAUUGGGCGUAAAGGGUACGUAGGCGGGUAAGCAAGUUAGAAGUGAAAUCCUAUAGCUCAACUAUAGUAAGCUUUUAAAACUGCUCAUCUUGAGGUAUGGAAGGGAAAGUGGAAGUCCUAGUGUAGCGGUGAAAUGCGCAGAUAUUAGGAGGAAUACCGGUGGCGAAGGCGACUUUCUGGCCAUAACCUGACGCUGAGGUACGAAAGCGUGGGUAGCAAACAGG